rnacentral:rRNA from 1 species
UACGUAGGGGGCUAGCGUUGUCCGGAAUCAUUGGGCGUAAAGAGCGUGUAGGCGGUCCGGUAAGUCCGUUGUGAAAGUCAAGGGCUCAACCCUUGAAUGCCGGCGGAUACUGUCGGGCUAGAGUCCGGAAGAGGCAAGUGGAAUUCCCGGUGUAGCGGUGAAAUGCGCAGAUAUCGGGAGGAACACCUAGGGCGAAGGCAGCUUGCUGGGACGGUACUGACGCUGAGACGCGAAGCGUGGGGAGCAAACAGG